UAUUUCUACUUCAGUUUAUCCCAGAGAUGUUUUCCUUUUUGCAUUUUAUUUCUUUUUCCAGUUUCUUUGAGUUUGUCACUUGUUCUCACAUAAAUUUACUCUGUGCAGUUGCAGAAGAUAGAGUAGGUUGAAGAACAUGCAUAAUUGCAUAUGCUGUUUCGGAACUUGUAGCAUUUAAUUCUGGUCCAUAUACCCUUUAGUUGCAAGCAUGAGGACCUACCACCAAAUGGCGGCAGUUAUUUUCCUCGGCCAUUGAACGGUAUCAGUAAGUCCCAUUUUCUUUUGAUCUGCCUCUAGAUACUUUAUAGUAGCUGACAACUUUCUUGGACAUGACUUUUUCAAACCAUGGUAUUGUUGUUCAAUUUCGAUGAAAUUCCUCUCUACAGGUAACAUUUCUACAUAUUAAUGUACAACUUUUAUUUUGACAAAGUGACUACAUUUGCUAUCUCACAUUUUCAUGGAAUUCUUCAGCAAAUUUGAUACUGCGGCUUGUAAUUUUCCUGGGCAGGGGAGCAUGCAACUUGCUAAUCACAACUGUCUUGGACAUGACUUUUUCCAACCAUGGUAUUGUUGUACAAUUUCGUUGAAAUUCCUCUCUACAGGUAACAUUUCUACAUAUUGUACAACGUUCAUUUUUACUAAGUGACUAUAUUUUCUAUCUCACAUGUUCUGUGGGCGGGAGUGCUUGCAACUGCUAAUUAAAUAAAGCGAUGGGUUUUCAUGACACAAUGCUCUGCACAUGAAUCACAUUCCAAAAUACCAUCUAAUGUUUUACUUGUAAUUAGGUUUUGGCACAAACUGCUGGUCAUGAUUCAUAUCUACCAAUCAGCCAUAACCUUGUUGUAUCGAUGGUGAGUUAACGACGGCAGCACUCUUCUACACAUUAUUCCUUUGCAAACAAUAUAGGAUGUUGUAUUAUACAUGUUUAUAACAUAAUAUUUCUAGUAGCAUACUUUCUGCAAAUUAAUAUAACGUUUCAAGAAGUAGAAAGUACUUUAUUGUCCUCAUAUGGAUAAGAAAAACCCACAUCUCAUAUUAAAUAAGCAAACUCAUACCAAGAAUUUUGUAUGAUCAACUAUUUAACUGUAUACUAAUUGCAUCCCCUGUCCUGCUUAAGCUAUAAAGUGUAUUCCGGCUUAAUUUAUUUACAAGAAAAAGUUAAGUAGAUCGGUACCACUAAUAUGACAAUAUGACUCGUUACCAAGUUUGGUACCACUUAAUAAGACAAUGUGGCUCAAUUUGUUAGGACUGAUGGAGUAUUCUUGUCCAACUGUACAUAUGACAUGAUUGGUACCACUUAAUAAUUAAUAUGACAAUAUGACUCAUUGUUCGAUGACUGUUAGAGCUACAUUUUGUCAAAUUGUAUUUACAUUGUACAACUUGCAAAUUCAAGGUCUGUUACUAACCUCAUUUGCAUGGUUGUGACUUGUUUUUCAUAUAUUGUGGAACUUCAAAAAUAAUUUAAUCUUUUAUCUUAUAUUGGUAUGCUUCCGUGUUUCGGGAAAUUACAUCUGAUACAUCUUAUAUUGUGAUCAUUCUCUUGCAUUUAAUCUUUAAAUGCAAGAGACUCUAAUUAGUAAUUACAGGGUGAUGGGGAGAAGAUUCAGAUCCUUGAGUAUGGUCAUGGUACGAGGGAGAAUGAUCCUUACCACACGAAUCCUCCUUGUACUGCAUUUAUUAAUAAUCUCCUUCUACUCUAUAAGCAUAUGGAAAUAUUUAAAUAAUAAAUUAUAUUUUCUCAAUGGUUUAAGGUCGAGUGUAUGUAAUAUGAGUUUCUUAAAAACUAAUUACGUAAUUUAAUUUGCACGUUGGUUUCUCUAAUAUCAUUAAGAGAGAAAAUGACCGAAAUUGAUCAUAUUUGGGGGUCAGAAAUGACAGAAAAUUCUGACUACUAUUAACUUAUGAACAUAGACAAUACAUUCGCCAAAUAGGUGCUACUGUUGCUUCUCAAAAGUGGGCUGAAGUUUCAAGUUUCCGGUUUCUCUGUUCAUUCACUCUGAUACUGAUUUGAAUCUUGUUGUGUUUCAUAGAUACUGUUCAUAAACUCAAGCGGAAAGUCUUUAUCUAUUGUACAGAUUGGGAAAUAAAUUGGACAUACCACCACGUAAGUCUGCUGAUCUUCUAAAUUUCUUCUUUCAAAUCCUCAUUGCAGACACCUUUUAUGCUCUCAUAUUGAGGUUCUCAUUAUAUACAUAGUACAACUUGCACAUUCAAGGUCUGUUACUAACCUCAUUUGCAUGGUUGUGAAUUGUUUUUCAUAUAUUGUGGUGGGAACUUCUAAAAAUAUUUAAUCUUCUAUCUUAUAUUGGUAUGCUUCCGUGUUUCCGGAAAUUACAUCUCAUACUAUGCUUUUUGGGUGUAAUAUAUCUUUCAAUGCAAGAGACUCUAAUUAGUAAUUACAGGGUGAUGGGGAGAAGAUUCAGAUCCUUGAGUAUGGUCAUGGUACGAGGGAGAAUGAUCCUUCUUACCACACGAAUCCUCCUUGUACUGCUUUUAUAUAUAAUCUCCUUCUACUUUAUAAGCAUAUGGAACUAUUUAAAUAAUAAGUUAUGUUUUCUCAUUUGUUUCAGGACGAGUGUAUGUAAUAUGAGUUUUUUUAAAAACUAAUUACGUAAUUUAAUUUGCACGUUGGUUUCUUUAAUAUCAUUAAGAGAGAACAUGACCGAAAUGAAUCAUAUUUGGGGGGCAGAAACAACAGAAAAUUUGGACUACUAUUAACUUAUGAACAUAGACAAAACAUUCGCCAAAAAGGUGCUACUGUUGCUUCUCAAAAGUGGGCUGAAGUUUCAAGUUUCCGGGUUCUCUGUUCAUUCACUCUGAUACUGAUUUGAAUCUUGUUGUGUUUCAUAGAUACUGUUCAUAAACUCAAGCGGAAAGUCUUUAUCUAUUGUACAGAUUGGGAAAUAAAUUGGACAUACCACCACGUAAGUCUGCUGAUCUUCUAAAUUUCUUCUUACAAAUCCUCAUUGCAGAUACCUUUCAUGCUCUCAUAUUGUGGUUCAUGUUGAGGUGCUACUGUUUCUUCUCAAAAGUGGGCUGAAGUUUCAAGUAUCCGGUUUCUCUGUUCAUUCACUCUGAUACUGAUUUGAAUCUUGUUGUGUUUCAUAGAUACUUCUUUUGAUUUACAAUUAUCUAACCAUAAAGCUCAAAGUUAUUUACUUCACAUGUAUGCAGUAAAUGCUAUAAAGGAUGCACCAUUGUCUACAAGCUGUCCUCCGGGGAACUGUUUGUCGGACCAAAACUUAAGCCGCUUCAGUUAAAUUUUUUACCCAUAAUUUAUUUUAGUUUAGUUUUGAAUUCAUAUAUUCCGUACUCCUGUCCUUAUUGUUUAUGCUGUCUGAAGAUCUCAGGAGCAGGACUAUGUGGCUGGGCUAGCCCUGUUUCACCUCUCGAGGUAGUCCCUAAAGGUUCAUAAUAAGAUAGAAGAAUCGAGCUUAUUUAGUAUGGUUUCGUAAAUCCUCCUUUCUUCAUAAUUAGAUGCCAAGCACAGUCAUCUUGGUUUUGCACAUUAUUGGAACUUACAGAAGGCAUUGGGCUGAUCGUUGGGGCUUCUGUAAGCAUUAUUUGAGUUUUGCUAUAGCUUUUUUUCUCAAAGUUCUAGCACAUCUAACGAAUUGUUAUAAUCAGGUAAGAUCGUUUGGGCUUCUGUAAGCAUUAUUUGAGUUUUAUUAUAGCUUUUUUUCUCAAAGUUCUAGCACAUCUAACGAUUUGUGUAUAAUCAGGUGAGAGAGGAUGCGCUCUGCUAGCAUUUGACUGUAUCAAGAAUGGUGGGGGAGUAGUUCCCAGCACAUAUGUUGGAAUACAAACAAUAUACACUGUUCUAUAUUGGGAAUGGUUUAUUUCACUGCACAGUACUUUGGUUGAAAUCCCAUUUGAGUAAUAGGAUAUCAAAUAUCUGUCAAAAGUUAAGGGCUUUGCUAUCUAUUAAACGGCAGGUUAAGUGACAAGGAAUAAUACACUGAAAGAUUUGAGAGGUGGGAAGGUAAGAUGCAGUAGUUACAUAACCAAAGGUGAAUGUUAUUUCAUUUAUCUUCAGAGCAGGGAAUCAGCCAAGCUAGUUACUUUACUAACAUAUACAGACCAAUUUUUCUAGUAAUCUUAAUUACUUAAAUUGGGUUAUUUUGGCAUAAUUGCAUCUAAUAACUGUUUGAAUCUUUAAUUUAGUUUUUAUGAGAGCAUAAGCAUCUUGAGAAUUAAAAAUUGAUGGGUCAGUUAACUUGUAGCUGGUAUUGUGUUGAUUUUCCUAGUUCCUCUUGAUAUUCGUGGUCAUGAUGAUGAAGAUGAAGCUACGUGUUAGUCAUCUGAGAAUCUUUAAUUAUGUUUUCACUCAACCUCUAUCUUCAUGCAGGUGCUCGGAUGUUGCGGAAGGAGUUAUUUUUUUUACAGAGGGCAGAUUGCAGUUAUACAUAUAAAUGGUGACGGUAGUGAAGAAGGGACAACAAUCUAAAGAUUCACUAACCAUCUGCUGAACCAGAAACUCUGGUGGCUGGGAUGAGUUUAAAGCAACUAAAAUUUUUAUCCAUUUAUCAAGCCAAAUUAGAGGUGUAAUUUUUUAUAUUUGUUACAUGGUAAUAUAAAUGUAGAACUAGUAAAUGAUUAUGAUUGGUAUGGAUAGAAAACAAGUCAGUCAAGCAUGCAUGAAUCUAUUGAAUAAGCUUUUGAAAAUUCUGGUCUAAGGGGAUGGAUGUCACCCAAUGAGAGUGAGUGUAAUCUGGUUAAACACUGACAUUGGUCAGAAAAAGUGCUCCCUGUGAAAAGUAUUGAUUAAGAUACAGAACCCGACUGAGCAACAAGUGAUUACAAGUGUGUCCUGCAGUGUAUAUUUCUACUUCAGUUUAUCCCAGAGAUGUUUUCCUUUUUGCAUUUUAUUUCUUUUUCCAGUUUCUUUGAGAUUGUCACUUGUUCUCACAUAUAUUUACUCUGUGCAGUUGCAGAAGAUAGAGUUGGUUGAAGAACAUGCAUAAUUGCAUAUGCUGUUUCAGAACUUGUAGCAUUUAAUUCUGGUCCAUAUACCCUUUACUUGCAAGCAUGAGGACCUAUCACCAAAUGGCGGCAGUUAUUUUCCUCGUCCAUUGAACAGUAUCAGUAAGUACCAUUUUCUUUUGAUCUUCCUCUAGAUACUUUAUACAGUAGCUCACAACUUUCUUGGACAUGAGUUUUUCAAACCAUGGUAUUGUUGUACAAUUUCGAUGAAAUUCCUCUCUACAGGUAACAUUUCUACAUAUUAAUUUACAACGUUUAUUUUGACAAAGUGACUACAUUUGCUAUCUCACAUGUUCAUGGAAUUCUUCAGCAAAUUUGAUACUGCGGCUUGUCGUUUUCGUGGGCAGGGGUGCAUGCAACUUGCUAAUCACAACUGUCUUGGACAUGACUUUUUCAAACCAUGGUAUUGUUGUACAAUAUCGAUGAAAUUCCUCUCUACAGGUAACAUUUCUACAUAUUAAUGUACUACGUUCAUUUUUACAAAGUGACCAUAUUUGCUAUCUCACAUGUUCUGUGGGCGGGAGUGCAUGCAACUGCUAAUCAAAUAAAGCGAUGGGUUUUCAUGACAGAAUGCUCUGUACAUGAAUCACAUUCCAAAAGACCAUCUAAUGUUUUACUUGUAAUUAGGUUUUGGGCACAAACUGCUGGUCAUGAUUUAUAUCUACCAAUCAGCCAUAACCUUGUUGUAUCGAUGGUGAGUUAACGACGGCAGCACUCUUCUACACAUUAUUUCUUUGCAAGCAAUAUUGGCUGUCGUAUUAUACAUGUUUAUAACAUAAUAUUUCUAGCAGCAUACUUUCUGCAAAUUAAUAUAACGUUUCAAAAAGUAGAAGGUACUUUAUUGUCCUCGUAUGGAUAAGAAAAACCCAUUUCUCAUAUUAAAUAAGCAAACUCAUACCAAGAAUUUUGUAUGAUCAACUAUUUAACUGUAUACUAAUUGCAUCCCCAGUCCUGCUUAAGCUAUAAAGUGUAUUCCGGCCUAAUUUAUUUACAAGAAAAAGUUAAAUAGAUCGGUUAUGACUCGUCACCAGGUUUGGUUCCACUUAAUAAGACAAUGUGACUCAAUUUGUGAGGACUGAUGGAGCUUUAUUCUUGUCCAACUGUACAUAUGACAUGAUUGGUACCACUUAAUAAUUAAUAUGACAAUAUGACUCAUUAUUGGACGACUGUUAGAGUUACAUUUUGUCAAAUUGUAUAUACAUUGUACGACAUGCACAUUCAAGGUCUGUUAUUAACCUUGCAUAGUUGUGAAUUGUUUUUCAUAUAUUGUGGUGGAUAUUUCUAAAAAUAUUUAAUCUUUUAUCUUAUAUUGGUAUGCUUCCGUGUUUCCGGAAAUUACAUCUGAUACUAUACUUUUUGGGUAUAAUAUAUCUUUCAAUGCAAGAGACUCUAAUUUCAGGGUGAUGGGGAGAAGAUUCAGAUCCUUGAGUAUGGUCAUGGUACGAGGGAGAAUGAUCCUUACCACAUGAAUCCUCCUUGUACUGCUUUUAUUUAUAAUCUCCUUCUACUUUAUAAGCAUAUGGAACUAUUUAAAUAAUAAGUUAUGUUUUCUCAUUUGUUUCAGGACGAGUGUAUGUAAUAUGAGUUUUUUAAAAAACUAAUUACGUAAUUUAAUUUGCACGUUGGUUUCUUUAAUAUCAUUGAGAGAGAAAAUGACUGAAAUGAAUCAUAUUUGGGGGGCAGAAACAACAGAAAAUUUGGACUACUAUUAACUUAUGAACAUAGACAAUACAUUCGCCAAAAACGUGCUACUGUUGCUUCUCAAAAGUGGGCUGAAUUUUCAAGUUUCCGGGUUCUAUGUUCAUUCACUCUGAUACUGAUUUGAAUCUUGUGUUUCAUAGAGACUGUUGAUAAACUCAAGCGGAAAGUCUUUAUCCAUUGUACAGAUUGGGAAAUAAAUUGGACAUACCACCACGUAAGUCUGCGGGUCUUCUAAAUUUCUUCUUUCAAAUCCUCAUUGCAGACACCUUUUAUGCUCUCAUAUUAAGGUUCAGACACACACACACACAGACUAGUGCAGGCUCAUAUACUAUAUAUAUGUAUAUUUAAUGGGAAACAAAUGUUAUAUAUCUUUGCUCACCACCUAGAAAAAGAAUUUGUGGUUUCUAUUGAGAAAUGAUUUUUGAGUGCUUGUGGUAUUUGGUGUAAAUACUAAAGAUGUUAGUCUGGUCCCAACUUCACUCCAGUGAUUAGCCGGCUACCUCUUUUACUUCAUAUAUGUAUUAUUUAAACUCUUUAUUUACAGCUCUCUCCUUUUGCGUCGAAUACUGAUCUAAUACUUUCUGCAAUUAAUCAUUUGCAAGUUGGGGAACAAACAAGGCUUGAAUUAUCCAGAUUUUGGCUCACAUCAAUGCCUCACAUCGUAAAGAAACUUAUACUGCAACAUAUAUGGAGAAGAUCCGCUUAAAGCUUUGGACAGAACUAUAUAGCGAUUUUGAGGUAAUUUAAACUAGCGGGCUUUUGUCUAUUUGCUUAUCUGGUACUAUCUUCAUAUAUCCUGAUUAUGAAAGAUAAUCCUUUUAUUGGCAUUAGAUAAUCAACCAGAAGGCAGCUUUAUUAUUGGAGUCCAGUAUCAGCUGAAUGUGAUGCAUAUUUGGCAAACGAAGCGACAAAAAUGUUAACAGCAAACAAGUUAGUUCUCAAAGAAAUUUCUUGCACCAGUUCUUUUAUGAUUUUAUUAUAUAUAAUUCCUUUUAUUUUUUGAAAGGGGAUCUUAGAAUUGUUUUUCGCCUUUGCUUACAUAAGAGAGAGAAGUAAAUCUUGGAAAUCGAUUAGUGACAAAUGACAAGAAUAUUAGAAGUAAAAGAUGUGGGGAAAAGUAUAUCUCCCAUUGCUGGAGAGUCCUCAUUAUAUAUAUUAAUCAUUAAACAGUAUCUGUAAGUCCCAUUUUCUUUUGACCUACCUAUAGAUCCUUUAUACAGUAGCUCAAAAUUGUCCUGGGCAGGUCCUUUUUCGAACCACGGAAACCUAUAUUGUUGUACAAUUUCGAUGAAGUUCCUCUCAUUUCUCAUAUUAAAUAAGCAAACUCAUACCAAGAAUUUUGUAUGAUCAAUUAUUUAACUGUAUACUAAUUGCAUCCCCAGUCCUGCUUAAGCUAUAAAGUGUAUUCCGGACUAAUUUAUUUACAAGAAAAAAUUAUAUAGAUCGGUACCACUAAUAUGACAAUAUGACUCGUUACCAAGUUUGGUACCACUUAAUAAGACAAUGUGACUCAAUUUUUGAGGACUGAUGGAACUUUAUUCUUGUCCAACUGUACAUAUGACAUGAUUGGAACCACUUAAUAAUUAAUAUGACAAUAUGACUCAUGUUCGAGGACUGUUAGAGCUACAUUUUGUCAAAUUGUAUAUAUAUUGUACAACAUGCACAUUCAAGGUCUGUUCCUAACCUCAUUUGCAUUGUUGUGAAUUGUUUUUCAUAUAUUGUGGUGUGAACUUCUAAAAAUAUUUAAUCUUCUAUCUUAUAUUGGUAUGCUUCCAUGUUUCCGGAAAUUACAUCUGAUACUAUACUUUUUGGGUGUAAUAUAUCUUUCAAUGCAAGAGACUCUAAUUACAGGGUGAUGGGGAGAAGAUUCAGAUCCUUGAGUAUGGUCAUGGUACGAGGGAGAAUGAUCCUUACCACACGAAUCCUCCUUGUACUGCUUUUAUUUAUAAUCUCCUUCUACUUUAUAAGCAUAUGGAACUAUUUAAAUAAUAAGUUAUGUUUUCUCAUUUGUUUUAGGACGAGUGUAUGUAAUAUGAGUUCUUUUAAAAACUAAUUACGUAAUUUAAUUUGCACGUUGGUUUCUUUAAUAUCAUCAUUAAGAGAGAACAUGAACGAAAUGAAUCAUAUUUGGGGGGCAGAAACAACAGAAAAUUUGGACUACUAUUAACUUAUGAACAUAGACAAAACAUUCGCCAAAAAGGUGCUACUGUUGCUUCUCAAAAGUGGGCUGAAGUUUCAAGUUUCCGGGUUCUCUGUUCAUUCACUCUGAUACUGAUUUGAAUCUUGUUGUGUUUCAUAGAUACUGUUCAUAAACUCAAGCGGAAAGUCUUUAUCUAUUGUACAGAUUGGGAAAUAAAUUGGACAUACCACCACGUAAGUCUGCUGAUCUUCUAAAUUUCUUCUUUCAAAUCCUCAUUGCAGACACCUUUUAAGCUCUCAUAUUGAGGUUCAUAUUGAGGUGCUACUGUUGCUUCUCAAAAGUGGGCUGAAGUUUCAAGUUUCCGGUUUCUCUGUUCAUUCACUCUGAUACUGAUUUGAAUCUUGUUGUGUUUCAUAGAUACUGUUCAUAAACUCAAGCGGAAAGUCUUUAUCUAUUGUACAGAUUGGGAAAUAAAUUGGACAUACCACCACGUAAGUCUGCUGAUCUUCUAAAUUUCUUCUUUCAAAUCCUCAUUGCAGACACCUUUUAAGCUUUCAUAUUGAGGUGCUACUGUUGCUUCUCAAAAGUGGGCUGAAGUUUCAAGUUUCCGGUUUCUCUGUUCAUUCACUCUGAUACUGAUUUGAAUCUUGUUGUGUUUCAUAGAUACUGUUGAUAAACUCAAGCAAAAAGUCUUUAUGUACUGUACAGAUUGGGAAAUAAAUUGGACAUACGACCACGUAAGUCUGCUGAUCUUCUAAAUUUCUUCUUUCAAAUCCUCAUUGCAGACACCUUUUAUGCUCUCAUAUUGAGGUUCAUACACACACAUACACACACACUAGUGCAGGCUCUUAUACUAUAUAUAUGUAUAUUUAAUGGGAAACAAAUGUUAUAUAUCUUUGCGCACCACCUAAAAAGAGAUUUUGUGGUUGCUACUUAGAAAUGAUUUUUGAAUGCUUGUGGUAUUUGGUGUAAAUACUAAAGAUGUUAGUCUAGUCCCACUGGUGAAGAAGGUUUUCAUGCAUCCUCUCUCCAUGUUAUUCUAAUUGUACUUCUACAUUUUAUCAAUCUGGCAUAUCAUGAGCAAAGAAUUACAACUAAUGGAGUCGCCAGCUCGAGUUUUUCUGCUGGCGCCAUACAAUUUAGUGGCAUCUUGGCUACUGAGUAUACUAAUUUGAAUGUCAAACCUCAGAAUUCAGGGCUGGAAGAAUAUCUUCGCAAUUGGUAAUAUUACAGAUCGUAAGGUACUUUUGCACUUCUUGUUCAAUUUUAUACCACCUCCGUUCCAACAUACGUUUUGCUUUUCACUUCUUAAAUUAUUUGGACCAAAUAAUUUAAAUGUUCAGUUAAUAAUAUUCAAUACAAUUGUUGUGGAUAUAUAAUCCCUGUCUGUCCACGUGAUUUGUUCAAUGCUUUAAGAGGUUUAACUGCCUCAGUUCUGUAAAGAGUCUAAUCUUGUAUAAUUGCAUUUGUAGUCAACUGAAACAAUAAUCAUAAUGUAGGAAAUGACACAGGGGUGUCUGACACAAAAAACAUUCUCUGCAGUUUGUGGAGAAGAACAUCAAAUAUAUUAAUGUCAGUAGAAAAUGAAGAUAAAAUAUUAAAUUACGAGCCUCCUUCAGAGGCCAUUGCUAUUGUUACAAAAAUAAUAUAAGAAGGAGAUCCACAACGAUCUUCUGUAUGGUACUUUGCAUAUCGUUCGUCCAGACAUAUAUUGAAGCAAUGAUAAAAAAUAACUCUAACUCAAACGCAGUUGAUAAAAGUACAGUUGCAAAGGUGGGAUGGUAAAUGUCUUGUACACUUUUUUUAAUUUACAAUUAUCUAACCAUAAAGCUCAGAGUUAUUUACUUCACAUGUAUGCAGUAAAUGCGAUAAAGGAUGCACCAUAGUCUACAAGCUGGCCUCCGGGGAACUGUUUGUCGGACCAAAACUUAAGCCGCUUCAGGUAAAUUUUUUACCCAUAAUUUAUUUUAGUUUAGUUUUGAAUUCAUAUAUUCCGUACUCCUGUCCGUAUAGUUUAUGCUGUCUGAAGAUCUCAGGAGCAGGACUAUGUGGCUGGGCUAGCCCGGUUUCACCUCUCGAGGUAGUCCCUAAAAGUUCAUAAUAAGAUAGAAGAAUCGAGCUUCUUUAGUAUGGUUUCGUAAAUCCUCCUUUCUUUAUAAUUAUGUGCCAAGCACAGUCAUCUUGGUUUUGCACAUUAAUGGAACUAACAGAAGGCAUUGGGCUGAUCGUUUGGGCUUCUGUAAGCAUUAUUUGAGUUUCACUAUAGCUUUUUUUCUCAAAGUUCUAGCACAUCUAACGAAUUGUGUAUAAUCAGGUAAGAUUGUUUGGGAUUCUGUAAGCAUUAUUUGAGUUUUACAUAUGUUACUCCGACUCGGGUACGGAGUGUCGGACACGACAGAUAUCCGAGUGUCGGACUUGGGAACUAUGAAAAUUGGGGACACGGGGACACUGUCCUAUUUUUGGACACGGGUACGGGGACACAUCGUAAUAUACUAAUAAACAAGUAUGGUAAGUUAGACAUCUUAACAAAAAGUAACAAAUAAACUCAUAUUAAACAUGAUUUUGUAGGGAUUUUGCAAAUCAGGCGUCUUUUUUACUUAAAUCCCACUCUUGCUUCUUUCUUUUUUCUCACAUAUUUCUUUUGAAUUGUAAGUUUUACUCAUAUUUGAUUUUAAAAUUGGUCAAAGUGUCCACAUUUUAGUCAAAGGAUCCGACACGAAAUAAGUGUCGUGUCCGAGUGUCCAAGUGUCAGACAGGCAACCUAAAUAGAAGAGUCGGAGUAGUAAAACUUUUACUACAGCUUUUUUUUUCCCUCAAAGUUCUAGCACAUCUAACGAAUUGUGUAUAAUCAGGUAAGAGAGGAUGUGCUCCGCUAGCAUUUGACUGUAUCAAGAAUGGUGGGGGAGUAGAUUCAGCACAUUUUUUGGAAUACAAACAAUAUACACUGUUCUAUAUUGGCAAUGGUUUAUUACACUGCACAGCACUUUGGUUGAAAUCCCAUUUGAGUAAUAGGAUAUCAAAUAUCUGUCAAAAGGUAAGGGCUCUGCUAUCUAUUAAACUGCAGGUUAAAUGACAGGGAAUAAUACACUGAAAGAUUUGAGAGGUGGGAAGGUAAGAUGCAGAAGUUACAUAACCAAAGGUGAAUUUUAUUUCAUUUAUCUUCCGAACAGAGAAUCAGCCAAGCUAGUUCCUUUACUAACAUAUACAGACCAAUUUGUCUUGUAAUCUUAAUUACUUAAAUUGGGUUAUUUUGGCAUAAUUGCAUCUAAUAACUGUUUGAAUCUUUACUUUAGUUUUUAUUAGAGCUUAAGCAUCUUGAGAAUUUUGAUGGGUCGUUAACUUUUAGCUGGUAUUGUGUUGAUUUUCCUAGUCCAUCUUGACAUUCGUGGUCAUGAAGAUGAAGAUGAAGCUACGUGUUAGUCAUCUGGGAAUCUUUAAUUAUGUUUUCACUCAACCUCUAUCUUAAUGCAGGUGCUUGGAUGUUGCGGAAGGAGUUAUGUCUUACAGAGGGCAGAUUGCAGUUAUACAUAUAAAUAGCGACGGUAGUGAAGAAGGGGCAACAUUUCUAAAGAUUCCCUAACCAUCUGCUGAACCAGAAACUCUGAUGGUUGGGAUGAGUUUAAAGCAACUAAAAUUUUUAACCAUUUAUCGAGGAGUAAUCUUUUAUAUUCGUUACAUGGUAAUAUAAAUGUAGAACUAGUAAAUGAUUAUGAUUGGUAUGAGUAGGAAACAAGCCAGUCAAGCAUGCAUGAAUCUAUUGAAUAAGCUUUAGAAAAUUCUGGUCUAAGUGGAAUAGGGGAUGGAUGUCACCCAAUGAGAUUGAGUGUAAUCUGGUUAAACACUAACAUUGGUCAGGAAAAGUGCUCCCUGUGAAAAGUCUUGAUUAAGAUACAGAACCCGACUGAGCAACAAGUGAUUAAAAGUGUGUCCUGCAGUGUAUAUUUCUACUUCAGUUUAUCCCAGAGAUGUUUUCCUUUUUGCAUUUUAUUUCUUUUUCCAGUUUCUUUGAGUUUGUCACUUGUUCUCACAUAAAUUUACUCUGUGCAGUUGCAGAAGAUAGAGUAGGUUGAAGAACAUGCAUAAUUGCAUAUGCUGUUUCGGAACUUGUAGCAUUUAAUUCUGGUCCAUAUACCCUUUAGUUGCAAGCAUGAGGACCUACCACCAAAUGGCGGCAGUUAUUUUCCUCGGCCAUUGAACGGUAUCAGUAAGUCCCAUUUUCUUUUGAUCUGCCUCUAGAUACUUUAUAGUAGCUGACAACUUUCUUGGACAUGACUUUUUCAAACCAUGGUAUUGUUGUUCAAUUUCGAUGAAAUUCCUCUCUACAGGUAACAUUUCUACAUAUUAAUGUACAACUUUUAUUUUGACAAAG
rnacentral:lncRNA from 1 species